CUCAGACAUCACAGAAAUGUGCUCCAAGACAUCUCCAAAUUUUGCUCAUCUUCCAAGUCAGACUCUUCUAAAGGCAUAUCUUGUUUCUGCCUGAGCCAUGGAGUGAGUGAGGCAUGGCUUUUCAGCUUUUGAUAAGCUUUGAUUUGCUUUGCAAUAAAAAGAAAACAGGCUGAGCAUGGUCUUCCAUCAACUUCUCUGAAGGUGGUGAAGCCUUUGGACUUGAAUGUGUACUGACUUGGCAAGUGCUGUUAAGACGUUGCUUCAAAUCUGGUUGCAAGAAAACAUUUGAUUUGCAUGCUGGCUUGGCGAGUGUUAUCGACACGUAUGGCCUCAGAAGCACAGGCAAACUGUCAGGGUGUUGCUGUGUAUACAAACUUAGGAACACAAUGGAGUACAAAGUCCACAAGUUGGGGUUGACUCUCUUCCAGUCUCCUCCCUGCUAAGACAGAUUUCUCCCUGGGUCUUGCUGUAUCUCUUCCCCACAGGCUGAAGCAUGGCUAGCCUGCUGCCACCUCUGCUUUAUUGAUUUUAUUUACAUAGUCUAUGCAAAAUAAAACUUACCAAGACCUGUGGUUCAUUUUCGAAUCAAGCAGGUGGUAGAAAGUCCCCUUAUUUUUAUGUUUCUUAAUCCACUGUGAACUUGACUUUUAAUUUCAAGUAAAGGGUUCUGUUGGGCUCUCAAUAAUUGUGUACCUGAAGGGCUCACCUGGAACUGGUACAAGGGAAAUUAGAUCCUUCCCAAAUCCCAUCAAAGCUCUCAAUCCUCCAGUUGGUACUUUGUCAAUGUAAAUGAGAUUAUUUUAAAAGGUAACAAAACCCUUCAGUUCAUCCCAGCUUAAUGUCAUUCG
rnacentral:lncRNA from 1 species